CGCUGGCGGCACGCUUAACACAUGCAAGUCGAACGCAGUAGCAAUACUGAGUGGCAGACGGGUGAGUAUAAUGUGGGAAUCUGCCUUUUGGUUUGGAAUAACUCGGGGAAACUUGAGCUAAUACCGGAUAAGCCCUUACGGGGAAAGAUUUAUCGCCAAAAGAUGAGCCCGCACUUGAUUAGCUUGUUGGUGAGGUAAAGGCUCACCAAGGCAACAAUCAAUAGCUGUUCUUAGAGGAAGACCAGCCACAUUGGGACUGAGACACGGCCCAGACUCCUACGGGAGGCAGCAGUGGGGAAUCUUGCACAAUGGGGGAAACCCUGAUGCAGCGAUGCCGCGUGAGUGAAGAAGGCCCUUGGGUUGUAAAACUCUUUCGUCGGGGAAGAAAAUGACUGUACCCGAAUAAGAAGGUCCGGCUAACUUCGUGCCAGCAGCCGCGGUAAUACGAAGGGACCUAGCGUAGUUCGGAAUUACUGGGCUUAAAGAGCUCGUAGGUGGUUAAAAAAGUUGGUGGUGAAAUCCCAAGGCUCAACCUUGGAACUGCCAUCAAAACUUUUUAGCUAGAGUGUGAUAGAGGAAAGUGGAAUUUCUAGUGUAGAGGUGAAAUUCGUAGAUAUUAGAAAGAACACCAAAAGCGAAGGCAACUUUCUGGAUCACUACUGACACUGAGGAGCGAAAGCAUGGGUAGCGAAGAGGAUUAGAUACCCUCGUAGUCCAUGCUGUAAACGAUGUGUGCUAGACGUUGGAAAUUUUAUUUUCAGUGUCGCAGCAAAAGCGUUAAGCACACCGCCUGGGGAGUACGACCGC
rnacentral:rRNA from 1 species